rnacentral:rRNA from 1 species
UACGGGGGGGGCAAGCGUUGUUCGGAUUUACUGGGCGUAAAGGGCUCGUAGGUGGCCAACUAAGUCAGACGUGAAAUCCCUCGGCUUAACCGGGGAACUGCGUCUGAUACUGGAUGGCUUGAGUUCGGGAGAGGGAUGCGGAAUUCCAGGUGUAGCGGUGAAAUGCGUAGAUAUCUGGAGGAACACCGGUGGCGAAGGCGGCAUCCUGGACCGGCACUGACACUGAGGAGCGAAAGCCAGGGGAGCAAACGGG